rnacentral:rRNA from 1 species
CGGGAGGCAGCAGUGGGGAAUAUUGCACAAUGGGGGAAACCCUGAUGCAGCGACGCCGCGUGAGCGAAGAAGUAUUUCGGUAUGUAAAGCUCUAUCAGCAGGGAAGAAAAUGACGGUACCUGACUAAGAAGCACCGGCUAAAUACGUGCCAGCAGCCGCGGUAAUACGUAUGGUGCAAGCGUUAUCCGGAUUUACUGGGUGUAAAGGGAGCGUAGACGGAUGGGCAAGUCUGAUGUGAAAACCCGGGGCUCAACCCCGGGACUGCAUUGGAAACUGUUCAUCUAGAGUGCUGGAGAGGUAAGUGGAAUUCCUAGUGUAGCGGUGAAAUGCGUAGAUAUUAGGAGG